rnacentral:rRNA from 1 species
UCUUAAUUUUAGUGGCGGACGGGUGAGUAACGCGUGGGCAACCUACCUAUUAGUGGGGGAUAACAGUUGGAAACGACUGCUAAUACCGCAUAAGCUGAAAAAGACGCAUGUUUUUUUCAGGGAAGAUGGCCUCUGAAUAUGCUAUCGCUAGUAGAUGGGCCCGCGUCUGAUUAGCUAGUUGGUGGGGUAACGGCCUACCAAGGCUGCGAUCAGUAGCCGGCCUGAGAGGGUGGACGGCCACACUGGGACUGAGACACGGCCCAGACUCCUACGGGAGGCAGCAGUGGGGAAUAUUGCGCAAUGGGGGAAACCCUGACGCAGCGACGCCGCGUGAGCGAUGAAGGCUUUAGGGUCGUAAAG